GUGGCCAGCGUGGAGGGAGACCCAGUCAUCAUGAAGAGCGACGGCUUCCCCACAUACCACCUGGCCUGCGUGGUAGACGACCACCACAUGGGCAUCAGCCACGUGCUGCGAGGCUCUGAGUGGCUCGUCUCCACUGCCAAGCACCUGCUCCUCUACCAGGCCCUGGGCUGGCAGCCACCCCACUUCGCCCACCUGCCCCUGCUCCUCAACAGAGAUGGCAGCAAGCUCUCCAAGAGGCAAGGGGACAUUUUCCUGGAGCACUUUGCUGCUGAUGGCUUCCUGCCCGAUUCCUUGUUGGACAUCAUCACCAACUGUGGCUCAGGUUUUGCAGAGAACCAAAUGGGCAGGACCCUGCCAGAGCUGAUCGCACAGUUCAACCUGACCCAGGUCACCUGUCACUCAGCCCUGCUGGACCUGGAGAAGCUCCCAGAAUUCAACAGGUGAGUGGGGAGCAUGGAGAUCCCCUGGUGGCAAAGGGCUUUCUUGCUUAUGACAGUCCCUACAGCAGAGGGUAUAAUGGGCUCUGGUACCUAAUUCUGUGUGACCAUGG
rnacentral:sRNA from 1 species